GUCCUUUAAGGAAUUUAGAGUCAUGUGAUGAUGCCAUUUCCUAUUAAGUCACUUCCUGUUUGUCCUUCCUGGUACUGCAUGGAAACAAGGAGACAGACAUGGUGUGCUCUUGGUGUUGAAUCCACUUGCAUCCACCUUAAAGCAUCAUAGAGGCAAUGCUGUAAGUUUGUUUAUGUGAUUUUAGAUAUUAAAGGUCAUGUAUUAGUAGAUAUUUUGUUAAAAUGAUGAUGUUUGAGAUUGUUAAAAUUAUGCUGUGUACAAGUUCUCAGAGAUGUUGAUGGCAUGUGUAGCUGCUGCUGUUACAAUGAGAAUUGCAUUGUAUAUUCAUUUUAUUCACAAUGGGAUGUUACUUAAGAAAUGGACACUGAAUAUUGCUGUAUUGUUUUUUAUUACAGUUUUCACCUACAUGUAAAUGAGGAAGUGUGACAGUAAAUGAUCAACCUUACUACGACUCUGUCUUCAUUUGCAACGGUUUAACUUGGUGUUUAGUCAGAGUUUCAAAACCCUGCACGAGAACAUUACAGUGAAAAAGCACCGUUUGAUGUUCAAAGUGGUUAAGAUGGCAUCAAGCAGCAAGUCGUCUGUGUGCAGCGCUAGAAGCAGCAAGUCAUCCGCAGCAACUGUGAGUGCAGCCCAAGCCCGGGCCAGAGCUGAAGCUGCUAAGGUGAGAGCGUCAUAUGCUAGUCAAGAGGCUAAACUGAAGAUGGAAAAGGCUGCAAGAGAAGCUCAAAAUCAGCUGGAAACAGUAAGAAUAGACACAGAGUUGGAUGUGUUAACAUUACAUCGAGAAGCUGAUGUGGCUGCAGCGGAAGCACAAGUGCUGGAAGAUGCAGAACUGCUAACACAUGCUGCAGUUGAAAGAGGAGGUUCUGAAACAGAGAAAGUUAAAAUUGAGCGUAUCAGUGAAUAUGUCAAUUCUCAAAUCAACUUUCAAAGUAAUUUUCCCUCUCCUCUCUUACAUGUCGCUCCUCCAUCCCAUGCUGACUUGCAUAGUAGUUUCAUAACAUGGAGCCCGCCUGCGGAAUAUGUUUCACCUACACAGUCUAUUAAAAGCAAGCCAAAGUCUGAGAAAGCUGAUAGCAACUUACCAGCAGUAAACUUACCGGAUUUGUCUACUGGUGUGAAGAAGUCAGAAGUCAGAAACACAGCCUCCAUCAUGAACGCACAUGCUAAGUCAUAUGUUCCUCGAUAUAUUGCUCCAGCUGGCACGCCACCUCAUGCAGAGCCUUUGGCACAGUAUUUAGCAAGACGGGACCUUGUUAAUUCAGGAUUGUACCAAUUUGAUGAUAAGCCAGAGAAUUACCUGUCAUGGUAUUCCUCAUUCAGCAGUGCAGCUCGUGAAGUUCACCUCACAGCAACUCAAGAAUUGGACCUCAUGACUAAAUGGUUAGGAAAGGAAUCUGGCCAACUGGUGAAACGCAUCCGCUCUGUGCAUGUCAGUAAUCCCAAUCUUGCUUUAUAUAAAGCGUGGGAUAGACUAGGUGAGUGCUAUGCUGCGCCAGAAGUCAUUGAAAAGUCAUUGUUUCAGCGGUUGGACAGUUUUCCAAAGAUUUCUGCUAAAGAUCACAUCAAAUUACGUGAACUUGGAGACUUGUUAAUGGAAAUCCAAGGUGCCAAAGAAGAUGGUUAUCUAACAGGUUUGUCAUACCUCGACACCUCACGUGGAAUUGCUCCUAUUGUUGAGAAACUUCCAUAUGGGCUUCAGGACAAGUGGGUGACUUCUGGGUCAUGGUACAAAGAAAACAAUCAUGGUCACUUCCCUCCCUUUGAGUUUUUCUGUAACUUUCUGUGUUCUGAGGCAAAGAAGCGAAACGACCCAAGCUUUAUGUACCAAAGCAGUGCUACAACACCCAUGAAACCAGACAGAUCCAUUGUGAAGAGUUUCCAUUCUAACAAACUCAUAUCAGUGCACAAAACAGAUUUGUGUGCAGUCAAUGACGAUCCAAACAAAAUCUGUCCAUUGCACAAUAAACCGCACCCUCUGAAAAAAUGCAGAACAUUCAGAAACAAACUCCUUAAUGAGAGAAAAGCCUUCCUUAAGGAAAAAGGAAUUUGUUUCAAAUGCUGUUCUUCAAUCUUUCACCUCGCUAAAGAGUGCAAGUCUUCCGUGAAGUGCACUGAAUGCGGCAGCAUAUAUCAUGAUGCGGCCAUGCACCCUGGUUCAACACUUCAAGCAGUCAAGGCUCCUUCACCAUCACCAGAGGACGGCGGGGAGGGAGAAGAUGAUUUUAACACAGCUGUAGUUUGCACAAGCUGUACAGAAGUUUGCAGUCCAGGUCAGUGGAGCCGCUCAUGUUCAAAAAUCUGCCUUGUGAAGAUAUACCCCAAGGGUUCCAAGGACAUGGCCAUCAAAGCCUAUGUAAUUUUGGACGAUCAGAGCAAUCGUUCAUUAGCCAGACCAGAGUUCUUCGAGCUGUUUGAUGUGGAGAGCAAGCCAUUCUCAUAUCAUCUCAGGACUUGCUCUGGUACCCAAGAAACAUCUGGCAAGAAAGCAGAAGGAUUUCAGAUUGAGUCACUGGAUGGAAAAGUUCUCAUCUCUCUUCCACCACUCAUUGAGUGUCAUGAGAUUGUAAAUAAUCGGUCUGAAAUUCCAACGCCGUGUGCAGUUCUACACCAGCCUCAUCUCCGACACAUUGCUAAGGAUAUCCCAGAGCUGGAUCCAGGAGCAGAAAUACUGCUGCUACUUGGAAGAGAUGUCAUCAGGGCACACAAGGUCAGGCAGCAGGUCAAUGGACCAAAUAACGCCCCCUUUGCCCAACGACUAGACCUGGGCUGGGUAGUAAUAGGAGAUGUGUGUCUGGGUAAUGUACAUAAGCCAAUGGUCAACACAUUCAAGACCAAUGUGCUAGAAAAUGGUCGCCAUUCAAUCUUUCUACCCUGCAAAAGCUUCAUGCAAGUCAAGGAGAUGCAGCCAAGCUGUAACAUGUCUGCCAGGGUAACUGAAAAGACGUUGGCACAGACAGUGUUUAACAGAACUGAGCAUGACUAUAAACUUGCUCCAUCAGUGGAAGACACGGCUUUCCUGAAAAUAAUGGACACAAACGUCUACAGAAACGAGGCAAACAGUUGGGUAGCUCCUCUGCCGUUUAGAGAACCACGACAGCCCUUGCCAAACAAUAAAAAGCAAGCAGUGAACCGAUUUACAAUCCUGCAACGUACUCUUAAGAGGAAACCUGAGAUGCAACAACAGUAUGUGGAAUUUAUGAAAAAGAUCUUUGCUAAUGGACAUGCUGAGCUAGCACCGCCACUGAGAGAAGAUGAAGGAUGUUGGUAUCUUCCAACAUUUGGGGUCUAUCAUCCACAAAAACCCAAUCAGAUCAGGGUGGUCUUUGAUUCCAGUGCUCAAUGCUCAGGUGUUUCUCUCAAUAACGUGCUCCUUACAGGCCCAGACCUCAACAACUCCCUUGUAGGCGUUCUGCUACGCUUUCGUAAAGAGAAGAUUGCAAUCCUAGCGGACAUUCAGCAGAUGUUCUACUCUUUCUUAGUGUGUGAAGACCACCGCAACUUCCUUCGUUUUCUAUGGCAUAAGGACAAUGAUGUCAACAAGGAAAUAGUUGAAUAUCGAAUGAAGGUCCAUGUCUUUGGCAAUGGGCCAUCGCCUGCUGUGGCAAUUUACGGACUUCGAAGAGCUAUCAGAGAAGGCGCAGAGAAGUAUGGUGUGGAUACUGUCAGGUUUGUGGAAAGACAUUUCUAUGUUGAUGAUGGCUUGAUAUCCUUACCAUCUGAAGCUGAGGCAAUUGAUUUGCUCCAACGAACACAGGCCUCACUAGCUGAGUCAAACAUCCGUUUACACAAGUUCGCUUCGAACGCUCAGAUAGUCAUGGAAGCUUUCCCACCCGAAGAUUGUGUUCCAGUAAUUAAGGACCUAGAUCUGAGUGGAGAGACUUACCCCACACAACGGAGCUUAGGUCUGCUGUGGGAGAUCAUGAAUGACACCUUCACUUACUCUGCAUCGACCAUUAACAAACCAUUCACUCGUCGUGGAGUCCUCUCCACGGUCAACAGUAUUUUCGAUCCUUUGGGUUUACUGGCACCUGUCACAAUCCAAGGAAGAGCCCUUCUCAGAGAACUUACCUCUGAAUUGUCAGACUGGGACACAACUCUCCCAGAAGAGAAGCUAAGCAGAUGGGAAGCCUGGAGAGAUUCACUCCAAGAUUUAAAACAGCUUCAUGUUUGCCGUAUGUAUACAACAACCUCACUCACUGAAGCAGUGCACACAGAAUUGUGUGUAUUCUCGGAUGCAUCGACCAUGGCUAUAGGUGCUGUGGCGUAUCUGAAAGCACUUCAGAAGGAUGGAAAAGUUGAAGUAGGAUUAGUUAUGGGCAAGGCAAAACUAGCACCUCUGUCUGAACCUACCAUCCCAAGGCUAGAGCUGUGCGCUGCUGUCUUAGCAGUAGAGAUGGCAGAUCUCAUUAAAGAUGAGCUGGAUCUAAAGUUGGAUGACAUAAAGUUCUUCACCGAUAGCAAAGUGGUGCUCGGCUACAUUUAUAACGAGUCAAAACGAUUCUAUGUGUAUGUUCACAAUAGAGUCCAACGUAUCCAUCAGUCCUCAAGACCUGAGCAGUGGCAUUAUGUACAUACAGAAGAAAAUCCUGCUGAUCAUGCAUCAAGAUCCUUACCUGCAUCUGGCCUGGUGCAGACUUCCUGGUUUACCGGUCCUUCCUUCCUGUAUCAGCCACAUGCAGAGAAAAUAAAAACAAGUGAGACAUUUCAGCUAAUUGAACCUGAAAAAGAUUCAGAAAUCCGACCGCAAGUACAAAGCUGUGCUACUAACCUGGAAGAGCCAGAGCUCACCUCUGACCGAUUCCAACGAUUCUCAACCUUUACAUCUUUGGUAAGAGGAGUAGCAUUUCUAGUUCACAUGGCAAAAUCUUGCAAACACACAAACCAAAACAGAAAAUGCAAAGGUUGGCACAGAUGUGACUUACCUCAUACUCCGGAUGAAAUGGACCAAGCAAGGAAUGUUAUCCUUCAAGCAACACAAAAAUCAGCGUUUUCAAAAGAACUGUCAGCCCUCCAAGCUAACCAGGCAGUAUCCAAAAGUAGCCGCUUACGGAAGCUCAGUCCGAUCAUGGAGGACAAUUUAAUUUGUGUUGGUGGACGUCUAAAGCACUCUCAGGUUCCAGCUGUUGAAAAGAACCCAAUAAUUCUGCCCAAACAUAGCCAUAUUUCGCUACUGCUCACUCGACAUCAUCAUGAGCAAGUGAAACAUCAAGGCCGUCAUUUGACGGAAGGAGCGAUCAGGGCAGCAGGACUGUGGAUCUUGGGAGGCAAAGCUCUAAUAAAUUCAGUACUCCACAAAUGCAUAAUCUGUCGCAAGCUACGUGGAAAGCUAGAAGAGCAACGCAUGGCGGACUUACCAUCUGAACGCCUCAAGACCUGCCCUCCCUUUACAUAUGUGGGACUUGAUGUAUUUGGACCCUGGUGCGUAACAACCAGACGAACCAGAGGAGGACAGGCGGAGAGCAAACGAUGGGCGAUCAUGUUCUGCUGUAUGAGUUUGAGAGCUGUACAUGUUGAGGUUAUUGAGUCUAUGGACACGUCAAGCUGCAUAAAUGCUCUCAGGCGAUUCUUCGCACUCAGAGGCCCUGCGAAACAGCUUCGUUCCGACUGCGGUAGUAAUUUCAUUGGGGCAUGCAAGGAGCUUGGAAUGGACAAAAAGGUGCAGAGGUACCUCAGUGAGCAAGGAUGCAGCUGGGAAUUCAAUCCACCACACAGUUCUCACAUGGGAGGCUCGUGGGAACGUAUGAUUGGUAUUGCCAGGAGAAUCUUAGAUUCGAUGUUUCUGCAGCUGAACACUCGCUUAACCCACGAAGUUCUUUGCACACUAAUGGCAGAAGUUACUGCUAUUAUUAAUGCACGACCACUCUUACCUGUGUCUGUAGACCCGGAACAACCUUUCAUACUCUCACCAUCAAUGCUCCUUACGCAGAAGACAGGAGUUCCACCUCCUCCUGGAGACUUCUCGGACAAGGACCUGUACACAAAACAAUGGAGACAAGUUCAGGCUCUUUCAAACCAGUUCUGGAUCCGCUGGAGCCGUGAAUACUUACCUUGCUUGCAACAGAGACAGAAGUGGACGGUACCUCGUAGAAACCUUCAAGUUGGAGAUAUAGUUCUGCUCAGGGAUAAGCAGGUAGCCCGCAAUUGCUGGCCCAUGGCUAGAAUCACUGCCAUAUUCCCUGGAAAGGAUGGACAUGUCAGAAAGGUUGAGGUAGUGACAAGUGAUCAAAAUAAUAUGAAAACCUUUCUAAGGCCAAUUGCAGAAGUUGUUCUACUUCUAACCAAAGACUGAUCUAAAGACUAAGGUUAGGCACUCUCAUACUGUAAAUCCAUAGUGACCUCACAUAGGUCAGGCGGGGAGUGUGUUGUCCUUUAAGGAAUUUAGAGUCAUGUGAUGAUGCCAUUUCCUAUUAAGUCACUUCCUGUUUGUCCUUCCUGGUACUGCAUGGAAACAAGGAGACAGACAUGGUGUGCUCUUGGUGUUGAAUCCACUUGCAUCCACCUUAAAGCAUCAUAGAGGCAAUGCUUUUUCACCUACAUGUAAAUGAGGAAGUGUGACAGUAAAUGAUCAACCUUACUACGACUCUGUCUUCAUUUGCAACGGUUUAACUUGGUGUUUAGUCAGAGUUUCAAAACCCUGCACGAGAAC